rnacentral:sRNA from 1 species
AAUAAUGCAAUAUCCGUAAAAUCUGAAAAUCAUUGUGUUAAAUCUAACGUGGUAUAAUUAUUUUAGGAUUAAACUCAAUUAAAUCCCAUGUAAUGAGGAAGACAAGAUAAAUUAUCUUAUAAAAAAAGCCGAUAAUAAUAUCGGCUUUUUUUAUA